rnacentral:rRNA from 1 species
CACUUAGAGGAAGGAGAAGUCGUAACAAGGUUUCCGUAGGUGAACCUGCGGAGGGAUCAUUCGCACCGAUCUACCUAUUACAUGUGAACCACUACGGUGAGGUGAGGGACUGUUCGCGACUUGCACCAGUGGUGAGAUGCGCGUUCAGGAACUCGAGGGCUGCAGUGGCAUAUUCGAUUGCGCCUGUGGCGUUUGCUAUCGGGUAUCGCCCUGUUGCCAUGGGGUCCGUUCGCGGGCCGUUGCUUGUGCGUUGUUGUUUUGUGAAGGCCUUAGACUGAUGAUCCAAUCUGUUAGUCACAACUUUCAGCGACGGAUAUCUCGGCUCAGGCACCUAUGAAGGGCGCAGCGAAGCGCGAUAGUUUUUGUGAAUUGCAGAUCUCCGUGAACCAAUAGCCCCCUGAACGCGCAUUGCACUCUUGGGACUUCCUGAGAGUAUGUUUGCUUCAGUGCUUGUUUUACCUCUUUGCAAGGUUCUGUCGCAACCUUGUGCCCUGGCCAGCCAUGGGUUAACUUGCCCAUGGCUUGCUGAGUAGUGAUCUUUUAGAGCAAGCUCUGGCACGCUGUUGUUUGAGGCAGCCUAUAUUGAGGCUAUUUCAAAUGACGUUGCUACAAGCUUGAUGUGUCCUUCUGCACCGUUGCGCAUCCCA